rnacentral:rRNA from 1 species
GGGUGUUAGGGCACGACACCGGAGAGGGAGCCUGAGAAACGGCUACCACAUCCAAGGAUGGCAGCAGGCGCGCAAAUUACCCAAUCCCGACACGGGGAGGUAGUGACAAUAAAUAACAAUACGGGGUUCUUUAGGAUCUCGUAAUUGGAAUGAGUACAAUUUAAAUCUCUUAACGAGGAACAAUUGGAGGGCAAGUCUGGUGCCAGCAGCCGCGGUAAUUCCAGCUCCAAUAGCGUAUAUUAAAGUUGUUGCAGUUAAAAAGCUCGUAGUUGAAUUUCGGGGUUAGUAGGUUGGUCAUGCCUCUGGUAUGUACUGGUCUCACUGAUUCCUCCUUCCUGAUGAACCUUAAUGCCAUUAAUUUGGUGUUUUGGGGAAUUUGGACUGUUACUUUGAAAAAAUUAGAGUGUUUAAAGCAAGCUAACGCUUGAAUACAUUAGCAUGGAAUAAUGAAAUAGGACGUUCGAUCCUAUUUUGUUGGUUUCUAGGAUUGACGUAAUGAUUAAUAGGGAUAGUUGGGGGCAUUAGUAUUCAAUUGUCAGAGGUGAAAUUCUUGGAUUUAUUGAAAACUAACUACUGCGAAAGCAUUUGCCAAGGAUGUUUUCAUUAAUCAAGAACGAAAGUUAGGGGAUCGAAGACGAUCAGAUACCGUCGUAGUCUUAACCAUAAACUAUGCCGACUAGGGAUCGGAUGAUGUUAAUUUUUUUAAUGACUCAUUCGGCCGCCUUACGGAAMCA